AUGAACGCUGGCGGCGUGCCUAAUACAUGCAAGUCGAGCGAACAGAUGAGGAGCUUGCUCCUCUGACGUUAGCGGCGGACGGGUGAGUAACACGUGGAUAACCUACCUAUAAGACUGGGAUAACUUCGGGAAACCGGAGCUAAUACCGGAUAAUAUAUUGAACCGCAUGGUUCAAUAGUGAAAGACGGUUUUGCUGUCACUUAUAGAUGGAUCCGCGCCGCAUUAGCUAGUUGGUAAGGUAACGGCUUACCAAGGCAACGAUGCGUAGCCGACCUGAGAGGGUGAUCGGCCACCCUGGAACUGAGACACGGUCCAGACUCCUACGGGAGGCAGCAGUAGGGAAUCUUCCGCAAUGGGCGAAAGCCUGACGGAGCAACGCCGCGUGAGUGAUGAAGGUCUUCGGAUCGUAAAACUCUGUUAUUAGGGAAGAACAAAUGUGUAAGUAACUAUGCACGUCUUGACGGUACCUAAUCAGAAAGCCACGGCUAACUACGUG
rnacentral:rRNA from 1 species